UAGUGUUGAUCACAUAAUAUUGUUCCAGAAAUUGGACCAUCAUGGAAUACGGGAAGUAGCUCACUGUGGUUCACAUCUUACUUUAACAACAGACAGCAAAAGGAGGACAUCCGACAACUCUAUCAGUCAAUGCCAUCUGAAUAACCACUUGCAUAAGGGCCAGAGGAGGACCAACACAGUAUUGACUUGCUCAAUUUGUGAAGCUUUUUCUGUUGAAUAAGUCAUCCAAUUUUUCUGAAAUUGUAAUAAUUUGUUAGUCUGUACAUGCACAUUGUAUCUACAUGUUCCCAUACCAAUAUGCUAAUUACCUCACGAUGUGUUUGUGCAAUUAUUUUGUGUAGUUCAUUGACCACUGCUUUUGUGGCUUGUAAGUAUGGUUUAUGGCAGGCUGGGCAGCUGAUAGGCAGUGUGUUAUGAGAAUUCAGUGCACCGUACUGUCAUGAAUGUUACAUUGUGUAACUUUUAGUCAUGACCCUUUGGGUGGGGGCAUUAUACACUUGCUUGAUGCAAUGAGGGUUGAGACAGAGUGUACCAUACUGGCCUGUGUGGUAUGCCAUGUUCUUGGGGUCGUUGACUGUGUAGCUGUAAGUCAAAGUGGUGGUUGGCUACGGUGGGUGUGGCGGCGGUUGUGUGUAAUGUGUGAGCAAAAGGUUUGACAUUGUCUGGGAAGCACUAUAAAAAUUAAACUAAAUGUAUAGCAGAAGAGUAAAUGUGAAGUGUAAAGAAAUUACAAAACUGAGUGUGUUUCUGUCAAUAAAAACCAUAGCUAAUACGACAGAUAAUUAUAAAACCUACAACUUGUUAAUAUGAUAUUUUUGUGUUGAAAAUGUUAAUAAAAUAUAUAUUUUUGUAUCAAAAAAUAAGUAUACAAUGUAAAGACAUUUUUUGUAACCAAUUUUAAAAAUACUUGGUUCAAAGAUCUAACCCUACUUUUGUCUCUAGUGUUGAAGAAUUAAGUCACUUAGCUGUUGUGACACACCAAGUUUUCUGUUACUAUAAAUGGUUAAAACUGAA